rnacentral:rRNA from 1 species
UAGCUACAGGCUUAACACAUGCAAGUCGAGGGGCAGCAUGGUCUUAGCUUGCUAAGGCCGAUGGCGACCGGCGCACGGGUGAGUAACACGUAUCCAACCUGCCGUCUACUCUUGGACAGCCUUCUGAAAGGAAGAUUAAUACAAGAUGGCAUCAUGAGUCCGCAUGUUCACAUGAUUAAAGGUAUUCCGGUAGACGAUGGGGAUGCGUUCCAUUAGAUAGUAGGCGGGGUAACGGCCCACCUAGUCUUCGAUGGAUAGGGGUUCUGAGAGGAAGGUCCCCCACAUUGGAACUGAGACACGGUCCAAACUCCUACGGGAGGCAGCAGUGAGGAAUAUUGGUCAAUGGGCGAGAGCCUGAACCAGCCAAGUAGCGUGAAGGAUGACUGCCCUAUGGGUUGUAAACUUCUUUUAUAAAGGAAUAAAGUCGGGUAUGGAUACCCGUUUGCAUGUACUUUAUGAAUAAGGAUCGGCUAACUCCGUGCCAGCAGCCGCGGUAAUACGGAGGAUCCGAGCGUUAUCCGGAUUUAUUGGGUUUAAAGGGAGCGUAGAUGGAUGUUUAAGUCAGUUGUGAAAGUUUGCGGCUCAACCGUAAAAUUGCAGUUGAUACUGGAUAUCUUGAGUGCAGUUGAGGCAGGCGGAAUUCGUGGUGUAGCGGUGAAAUGCUUAGAUAUCACGAAGAACUCCGAUUGCGAAGGCAGCCUGCUAAGCUGCAACUGACAUUGAGGCUCGAAAGUGUGGGUAUCAAACAGGAUUAGAUACCCUGGUAGUCCACACGGUAAACGAUGAAUACUCGCUGUUUGCGAUAUACUGCAAGCGGCCAAGCGAAAGCGUUAAGUAUUCCACCUGGGGAGUACGCCGGCAACGGUGAAACUCAAAGGAAUUGACGGGGGCCCGCACAAGCGGAGGAACAUGUGGUUUAAUUCGAUGAUACGCGAGGAACCUUACCCGGGCUUAAAUUGCAGAUGAAUUACGGUGAAAGCCGUAAGCCGCAAGGCAUCUGUGAAGGUGCUGCAUGGUUGUCGUCAGCUCGUGCCGUGAGGUGUCGGCUUAAGUGCCAUAACGAGCGCAACCCUUGUUGUCAGUUACUAACAGGUUCCGCUGAGGACUCUGACAAGACUGCCACCGUAAGAUGUGAGGAAGGUGGGGAUGACGUCAAAUCAGCACGGCCCUUACGUCCGGGGCUACACACGUGUUACAAUGGGGGGUACAGAGGGCCGCUACCACGCGAGUGGAUGCCAAUCCCCAAAACCUCUCUCAGUUCGGACUGGAGUCUGCAACCCGACUCCACGAAGCUGGAUUCGCUAGUAAUCGCGCAUCAGCCACGGCGCGGUGAAUACGUUCCCGGGCCUUGUACACACCGCCCGUCAAGCCAUGGGAGCCGGGGGUACCUGAAGUGCGUAACCGCGAGGAGCGCCCUAGGGUAAAACUGGUGACUGGGGCU